rnacentral:rRNA from 1 species
AACGAACGCUGGCGGCAUGCUUAACACAUGCAAGUCGAACGAGACCUUCGGGUCUAGUGGCGCACGGGUGCGUAACGCGUGGGAAUCUGCCCUUUGCUACGGAAUAACUCAGAGAAAUUUGUGCUAAUACCGUAUGAUGUCGCAAGACCAAAGAUUUAUCGGCAAAGGAUGAGCCCGCGUAAGAUUAGCUUGUUGCUGAGGUAAAAGCUCACCAAGGCGACGAUCUUUAGCUGGUCUGAGAGGAUGAUCAGCCACCUCUGGGACGGAGACACGGCCCAGACUCCUACGGGAGGCAGCAGUGGGGAAUAUUGGACAAUGGGCGAAAGCCUGAUCCAGCAAUGCCGCGUGAGUGAUGAAGGCCUUAGGGUUGUAAAGCUCUU